UCAUUGGCUCUCUGCCCCGCAGCCUACAAUGAGCCCGCCGAUUGGCUGCAGCUGGGUCCGCGCCGCCUUGUGAGCAUGAAUCCCUGGCCUGAACUGGGGAAGUCACUUUCAGGAUUAAAGGCAGCCAACAGAACAUCAGCACCCAGAGCCCUGGAGAACAGCAUCUGUGUUUGAGUGGUAAAGUGUCAACAGGCCGCUUAAGGAGGAGUGGGUAUAGGGAGAGAGAGGCUGCAUUUCUAAAAUAUCUCUGAGAACAAGCUGCUUUUCAGAAUUCAAAUCAACAUGUGAUCUUCUUCACUUUAGGGGUAUAUGCAGGAAGCCAUUAGACACAACCAGCAAAGGGCCAUACGGCAGAUAACGUGUGACUUCUUCCCUUUCGUGUACCACAGAAGUCCAUUGGUGGUGAAUAUGUGAACAGCUA
rnacentral:lncRNA from 1 species